rnacentral:lncRNA from 1 species
AUGGCCCCGGCCCCCGCGCCGCCGCCUCGCCGCCUCGCAGCCUCGCCGCCGCGGGACGCCCAGCCUCCCGCCGCCAAACUUCUCCGCGCCGCGGCCCGCCGGCCCCCGCCUCCGCCCCGGCCCCCGCGCAGGCUCCGGGCCGAGGGCGCCCUUGGGCUGGCCCCGGCCCCGCGCUCCCCGCGCUCCCCGCGCGCUCCCCGCGCUCCCUUCCCGCUCCCCGCGGCCCCCGCUCUGCGCGCGAGUCUCCUCCUCCCCGCGGACUCCUCGGGGGCGGGGCGGGGCGCGGGCGGGGCGGGGCGGGGCGGGGCUGCUCCCGGGGACCCCGUCCCCAGCCCCGGGCGCCACGGCCGAGCCAAACCGGUCGGGAGGGGCGGGGGCCGGGCUGCGGCGGGGCCGGCGGGCGAGUGGCCGCGCAGCCCGGGGGUGGGGGGCGGGGGAGUGCGGCGCUCCCGCCGGCCUCCACCCCGGGCCGGGACGGUCUCGGGGCCUGGAUGGGGCCGUGCCCACUCCCCAAGACCCACCGGGUUAACGACCACUUGGAGACUGCGGAGGCGUGAAGGAGGCAGGGGCGAGGCUUUCAGUAAGUUGGCGACGUCGGGGUUAACUGGGAGUGAAUUGGGGGCGGGAUGCUGGGAGGACUGGAUCCCGAACACCCUUCAAUCUCGCUUCCCCUCCCUUUGGUCUCAGAUUCUGGGAGGUCCAGAGACGCCCAGUAAUUCGGGGAUGGGAGAAGUCAGAGAUGGCCGGCGGGGACCCCAAAUCUUCAAUCUUGUCCUCCCUGCAAGAGAGCCCUGUGACAGUGCCCUGGCUGCAUUUGACCUGGUUGACAGAGGCAAGCCCAGAAAACUGCCCAACGGGGAGAGGGGAGGUAAAGAAACUAAAGCAAGUAGUAAUGAAGUCAGAUCAGAGGAACAGGGGAUCUUUUUAAAAAGGGGUGUUGUUUCCCCGCAGGAAAGUGCUCCCAGGAGACUGCCUCCCAGAAGCAGAGGCUCUGCCUGCAAACUGGUCCAGUGGUCCACGGGGACAGAUGCCAUCUCUCUCUCCCAAGAGGCCCAGGGACUCACUCCUGGUCACUCAGUCCCCUUCCAGUCCUCUUCCCAUCACCCAACACCCACCUAUUCACUGGUCUUUGCUCCCCCCACCCUCCUGUCAGAAAGGGACACUCUUCCAUCGGUGAAAGUUGCAUUUAAUGCUCACAUCAUCAUAAAGCAGACACACAACCCCAACCCCAGAAUCCAACCUGUGACCAUCUCACCCGAUAAUGACUAUUCCCCUUAA